UACGUAGGGUGCGAGCGUUGUCCGGAAUUAUUGGGCGUAAAGAGCUCGUAGGCGGUCUGUCGCGUCGAAUGUGAAAACCCGGGGCUCAACUCCGGGCUUGCAUUCGAUACGGGCAGGCUAGAGUUCGGUAGGGGGAGUCUGGAAUUCCUGGUGUAGCGGUGAAAUGCGCAGAUAUCAGGAGGAACACCGGUGGCGAAGGCGGGUCUCUGGGCAGUAACUGACGCUGAGGAGCGAAAGCGUGGGGAGCGAACAGG
rnacentral:rRNA from 1 species